rnacentral:rRNA from 1 species
UACGUAGGUGGCAAGCGUUGUCCGGAUUUAUUGGGUUUAAAGGGUGCGUAGGCGGCCCUGUAAGUCAGUGCUGAAAUAUCCCGGCUUAACCGGGAGGGUGGCAUUGAUACUGCAGGGCUUGAGUACAGAUGAAGUAGGCGGAAUUGACGGUGUAGCGGUGAAAUGCAUAGAUAUUGUCAAGAACACCGAUAGCGAAGGCAGCUUACUAAGCUGUAACUGACGCUGAGGCACGAAAGUGUGGGGAUCAAACAGG